CUCUUCCUCGCCUUCUCUCUCUUUCACUCUUGCCAAAUUUCUGAGUUUGCCUAUUUUGCAGGUUUGGUGCAUCGUUCAUACGAUUCAGGGUUCUCAACUAUAAUUGUUUCUAGGGCAUCAGGAAUUUCCCCUGGAGGGUAACCUACAACACAAAAAAUGCUUUAUCCAUAAAGACUUUAGAGGACCAGACCAACUACCCCACCUUCGGCAUUGGCAUCAGCAGGGAAGCGAGCCUUAGUGACCCCUAAAAGCCAGACCUUAAAAACAAAGAGAACUAUAAGAAAUGAUAACGAGGACGUCUAAUAGCAACCAUUUUCAGAUCUAUUCUGACCAUGCACAUCUUCCUCCAGAGAGUUGCUCAUCCUUUUUUCUUUUUUCUUUUUUCAGAUGAAUUUUGAUCAUCCUUUAGCUACUAGUGCAAAUUUGUACGUUUGACCAUUUGUUAGAUGGUAGAGAGUUUAUAUGUAUGCAACAAACUAAAUGUUUAACUGUUUUUGCAA